UUAUGGCCAUACCACGUGGCAACAUUCGUUCCCGUACGAUUACCAAAGUUAAGCAAUGGCGAGCCUGGCCAGUACCUAGAUGUGUGACUGCUUGGGCAUACCAGGUGAUGCAAG